AAGUCGUAACAAGGUUUCCGUAGGUAUGUAUUGAAAACCCCCAUACUUCCGUCAAUCUUUUCAACCAAUUCUAACAUUCAAUCACAGGUGAACCUGCGGAAGGAUCAUUAAGGAGUGAGGGUCCUCUGGGCCCAACCUCCCAUCCUAUGUUGUCAAAACACCAGUUGCCUCGGCGUCUUGACCGACGCCAGAGGACAGUUCAAACACUCUCAAUCAAAACGUUUUGUCCGAGUACAAAGAUUUAAAUAAAAUCAAGA
rnacentral:misc_RNA from 1 species